rfam:Oryza barthii chromosome 3, whole genome shotgun sequence.
AAAAAAAACAAACCUGAGUUUCCGUGUCCAACGUUUGACCGUCCAUUAUAUUUAAAAAAAUUAUGAAAAAAAUUAAAAAGACAACACGUAUAAAGUAUUAAAUAAUGAAAAUACUAAUUAUAAAAAAAAAUUCAUAUAAGACGGACAGUCAAACGUUGGAUACAGAAACUCAGGGUUUGUCUUUUU